rnacentral:rRNA from 1 species
ACGCUGGCGGCAGGCUUAACACAUGCAAGUCGAACGGUAACAGGAAUUAGCUUGCUAAUUUGCUGACGAGUGGCGGACGGGUGAGUAAUGCUUGGGAAUCUGGCUUAUGGAGGGGGAUAACUACGGGAAACUGUAGCUAAUACCGCGUAAAAUCUUCGGAUUAAAGGGUGGGGCUUUCGAGCCACCUGCCAUAAGAUGAGCCCAAGUGGGAUUAGGUAGUUGGUUAGGUAAAGGCUGACCAAGCCGACGAUCUCUAGCUGGUCUGAGAGGAUGACCAGCCACACUGGAACUGAGACACGGUCCAGACUCCUACGGGAGGCAGCAGUGGGGAAUAUUGCACAAUGGGGGGAACCCUGAUACAGCCAUGCCGCGUGAAUGAAGAAGGCCUUCGGGUUGUAAAGUUCUUUCGGUGACGAGGAAGGUUGAUAGGUUAAUAGCCUAUCAAAUUGACGUUAAUCACAGAAGAAGCACCGGCUAACUCCGUGCCAGCAGCCGCGGUAAUACGGGGGGUGCGAGCGUUAAUCGGAAUAACUGGGCGUAAAGGGCACGCAGGCGGUGACUUAAGUGAGAUGUGAAAGCCCCGAGCUUAACUUGGGAAUUGCAUUUCAUACUGGGUCGCUAGAGUACUUUAGGGAGGGGUAGAAUUCCACGUGUAGCGGUGAAAUGCGUAGAGAUGUGGAGGAAUACCGAAGGCGAAGGCAGCCCCUUGGGAAUGUACUGACGCUCAUGUGCGAAAGCGUGGGGAGCAAACAGGAUUAGAUACCCUGGUAGUCCACGCUGUAAACGAUGUCGAUUUGGGGAUUGGGCUUUGAGCUUGGUGCCCGUAGCUAACGUGAUAAAUCGACCGCCUGGGGAGUACGGCCGCAAGGUUAAAACUCAAAUGAAUUGACGGGGGCCCGCACAAGCGGUGGAGCAUGU